GAUGAACGCUGGCGGCGUGCUUAACACAUGCAAGUCGAACGGAAAGGCCCAAGCUUGCUUGGGUACUCGAGUGGCGAACGGGUGAGUAACACGUGGGUGAUCUGCCCUGCACUUCGGGAUAAGCCUGGGAAACUGGGUCUAAUACCGGAUAGGACGAUGGUUUGGAUGCCAUUGUGGAAAGUUUUUUCGGUGUGGGAUGAGCUCGCGGCCUAUCAGCUUGUUGGUGGGGUAAUGGCCUACCAAGGCGUCGACGGGGAGCCGGCCUGAGAGGGUGUACGGCCACAUUGGGACUGAGAUACGGCCCAGACUCCUACGGGAGGCAGCAGUGGGGAAUAUUGCACAAUGGGCGCAGGCCUGAUGCAGCGACGCCGCGUGGGGGAUGACGGCCUUCGGGUUGUAAACUCCUUUCGCUAGGGACGAAGCGUUUUUGUGACGGUACCUGGAGAAGAAGCACCGGCUAACUACGUG
rnacentral:rRNA from 1 species